CCUCGUUCACAAACCAUCACAUUUGAAUUUCCAGCCAAUCUAACCUUCUCAGCUGAGUUUAUCAUGACUGAAGGAGCACAGAACUGGCCUUUUUUAAUAUUGAUAAUUUUCCCAGUCUUGGCAGCUGCAACUAGAAGAUCUGUCUGACGACAUAAAAAUGCAGGAAUCUGUAUGAUAUCUGCUACUCUUCCAACAGGUUCACACUGAAUAGCUUCAUGCACAUCGGUAAUAAUAGGAAUUUGAUAUGCUAUUUUAACCUUCUCAAGAAUCUUCAAGCCUUCGUUCAUGCCUGGACCUCGGAAUGACUUUGAGGAUGUUCUGUUAGCUUUGUCAAAGCUUGACUUAAAAACCAAUGGCAA
rnacentral:misc_RNA from 1 species